rnacentral:tRNA from 1 species
GCCCGGGUGGCUUAGCUGGACAUAGCGCCGCACUCAUAGGGUUCUGAGAUUUGGCGCUCAGGCCUUGGAAGCCUCCCAUGCGCCCGUGAGGCCCCGCCAGGCCUCGAACCUGGGACAUGCGGAGAUCGAGGGUUCGGAGCCCUCCCCGGGCA